rnacentral:rRNA from 1 species
GGCUGCAACUCGCCUGCAUGAAGUUGGAAUUGCUAGUAAUCGCGAAUCAGAAUGUCGCGGUGAAUACGUUCCCCGGGCCUUGUACACACCGCCCGUCAAGCCAUGGGAGCCGGGGGCGCCUGAAGUCCGGGACCGCGAGGACCGGCCUAGGGCGAAACUGGUAACUGGGGCUAAGUCGUAACAAGGUACC